ACACACACACACACACACACAGAUAUAUAUAUAAGCAGGAGAACGCAAAGUUUUGUGAAAGAACAUGGCAGUAACUGCAAAAGAUGAGAAAGGCCAUUUUGUUUUAACAGCUCAGACCUGAUGACACAGCACAACACCAGGCUCAUUUUGAUUUUAAAAUAACAGACUGAUUUUUGUGGAUUCAAGCUGGGUCUCCUUCACUUUCUUGUAAAAGGAAGAACAGCUACCAGCCAUCAAUCUGACACAAUCACAAAUCAGUGUUGGCUCUCUGCUUGCUAGUUUUGGGAGCAAAUCAUUUUCAUUCAGUAGCACCAGCUGGGCUCUGUUGGCAGGAAUAGCAUAUGAAUUCUUGGUAUGGUAUUUUAUUUUAAAAGACCACACCAGCAGCAGAUUUAGCCUAAUAUCUAUAAAAUAUAUAAAUCUUUUACCAAAGCAAGCAGUCGCAUUUUUGAAUUCCGAUAUUUUUCUACCUUUCAUCUGGAUGUUUCCAUUCAUUAUACAACGCUAUGAAAAUGAACUUUCAGAGACUUCAAACCUUCUUCACACCAGUAUUCCAUCACUGGAAUAAAGCAGCAUUGUUGCAUUUUGACGACUUGAAAUUGGGUAGAGUGAAAUGGUUUCUCUGAGCACUGUUUUCUCUGCUGGAAAGUGCUCCCUAGGGAGUACUCCCUGCUUUACACUGCAAAUGUUGAAUUAUUUGGUUUAUGACUGGUGACUACUUUGUUAGUUGCAGAAGUAAAACAUUAUAAGGUGGGUGUUUCAGCCAAAAAUUUUAAUUGUAUGUUGUGAAGUGGUGAAAACAGUACUAGAAAUUGCUAUUCAGGUGGAAGUGCUGUUACUUAGCUGAUAUUUUACUUAAAUAGAAUGAUGAAACCUUCUUUAAGAGUACAAAAUUCAUUCUAGAUUAUUUUUAAUCUAAUUUUGAAAUUACAAAGAGAAGGUCCAUCAGAGGAAAGCCAGAUUCCUCUUGUCAAGUCUGCUGACUUACACUGGCAGGGUCCAUAGUUUGUCAAUUUAUGAUGAUCAAGUCUGAAUAUAUCUUGAGAGCCCUGAAUAUAUGGAGAGAGCCAAUCAAAUUUGCACUCUAAUGGAUUGGAUUUUAUUUGCAGCCAAAUGCAGCACUUAGGGAAAAAUGUACUUAAGUAUAAGAGUAAAUCUAAUUAGUUACUUUGACUCCUGAUGGUGUGAAAUGUAUAGUACUUUACAUGAUUUGCAAAAUAGUUUGUUGGGAUGUAAAAUGUGGGGAAAUUUUAGUCAAUGGGCCAAACUUUCAAAAUUACUGGUGUGGUCUUUUAAGGACCUAAGCUGGUCUCUUACAUUGUGGUAUUACUUUUUCAGCUUUGAUCAGCCAAAUACAGCAACCUGGCAAACAUCACUGGUUUGGUUUGCUGCGGUGUUAGCCUCAGCAUGCAAUGUAUUUCCAUUGGAUGCCUUUUUAAAUUUUAAGGGGGACACAAUAAAUUGCUACUUAUGUUAGCCCAGUCCAACGGUUAUCCAUGGUUAGACAUGAAUGACUGAGACCUUUUAACAGUGAAUGCACUACAUGUUUUUUCAGAAGUAAAAUGGUACUUCCUCAUUCUCAUUUUAUGUACAACGUGCCCUAAGAUGCAAGAACAAGUAAAAGAGCUUUUCUAUGCCUUAACUUAGAGACUUUAAAAUACUUAAGUUAUAUUUCACUGAAGCAGAACAUUUUCUUGUGAGCUCCCAGAUCUGUGUGGUUCAACAGUCACCCUUUUGUCAUGGACACACUGACUAAAGACAUAUUUAUGAAUGAUAUAUUUAUCAAUCCAAUUCAUCCUGACACAGAGGGAAUGAUCAGUCUGGGUCCACAGAGCAGCCAGUGUGUAUCCAUUAAUGAAGUCCGCCGAAAAAUGAAGAUGCUUUUGCUUCAUGUUUUUACAAAACACUUUUUCUGUGGCCUUGAUUCAGAGUUGAUUUAUGCUGUUCAGUCAUUCUGAAUACAAAAUAUGCUGAAAAAACAUCAACUCCCAGAUAUUUCAUACUCUUAAUAAAUGAAGGGUUCUCAUUUGCAGCCUGAACAGCUGUUAUAUUAAAUGCUUUGUCUUUAAAAUAUUUAUACAUGUUUUAAGGAAUAUUUUUUGAAGGGGAAAUAUUAAUAUUCAGAAAAAGUGAUGAAAAUUCUGAUUUCCUGAUUUUUUUUAUUUUUUUUUUUUUAGUUUUUAGCCUCAGUAAGUUCACAUAGACAGUGACCAAAAAUAAGUUCCGAGUUUGUUAUUCAUGGGGCAGUUUCCCAGAUGUGGAAAAUGCCCUAAAAAUAAGUACCACUACUGUACUUCACUUUCUGGGUCAUGGAUUGAAAUAGUCUUAGAUUUAUCUUAAUCUGAAUUUCAGUGAUCUGAUUUCCAGGUCAAAGAUUAUCCUGAAGUAAAUGAAGGUUUAAAUUAAACCUCAGAGGAAGCAGGUUUAACUUCAGAUUACUGCUGUUUCUCAAAGAAGAAACAGUGGCCAUACAGUUUCUCCUCCAAAUCAACACAGUUUUUUCUAGAUCCACUCCAGGAUUUAUGAGCACCAUCAGGUAUUGAAUUUAAAGUAAUAUUCCACAACAAAUAAAUGUCCAUUUUGAUACUCCUUGUCGUUUGACUCUACUAGUAAUGCGACCUAUAGCCAGUUUAUUAAACUUCAGCUUUUGCCAUUCUGAAGUCCAGUGAGGGUUUUAUUUAUUUAACAAUUUAUUUAUUUAUUAAUUAUGAUGAUGAUGAUGAUGAUGAUGAUGAUAAUGAUGAUUUUUUAAUUUCCUAGAAAAAUAGUGCAUUUUAAAAUAUUUUGUGUUUAUGGAAGCAACAAAAGUAGGGCUGUUUAAUAAAUGUGAGACAGUAAAAGAAAUAUAAUUGACAACUGUCUGCAUUGAGACAAAUCUGAAGUUAAGAUUUGUUUUUGGAAAGCCAAUGUCAAGGCCAUAAUUAACUACUCCAGGUUAAGGUCUUUUCUUAUCUUAACUAAAUCCCAAUCUGGGAAAGCACCCCUAUAUUUAGACUGAUAAGCAAUUUUAUUGCAGCUGGUAAUUUCCUGCUUCCAAAUGAAUUUUGUACUUUGCCCGCAGUAUUUCUGUCAUUUACAAGAGUGUUUUUCAACCUUUUAUGAGCCAUGACACAUUGGCUCACAUACAGUAUAAAUAUGACAAUUUAGUUUCUCCUUUUGUUUAUACUCACUCAGUGUGAGCAUGUCCACUAAGUCAGUAGACUCAUCAAGUUGCAUUGCAAAUUUCCCACUGAUGCAUAUCUUUUCGAAAACAAAACUUUCGAUAUCUGCAGACAUGUCAUCAGUAUGUCUGACGUUUGUGUUAUCUGAGAGAGGGACUGUGGCUACUUCUUCAACCACGUCAGGGCCAAGUAUCUCGUUCACACUGGCUUUGGAGGCAGGUUGUAUAUAUGUCUCUGCCAUAGUGUAUAGCUUUUUUGAUUUGGCUAUGAGUUCAGCUACUAAGUAGCUAGCUUUGAGAGCAUUGAAACACAAGAUCCCCUUGUGUUUUUUUCUCAUUAACAUUAACUUGUUUCUCAGUGUGUUCACGCAGGCGAACAAAAUAGUCUGUGUUCUUGAUUUGAAGUGAUGGCUGCUUCGUUUGGAGUUGGUGUUUAAACUUGCUUGGGACCACGCCAUUGUUGGAUAGCUUUUCCCUACACACCAAACAUAACAGAGUCGGCACAGUCGGAUCUCAGAUGAAAGUAAAUCUAAAUGAAAGAUAACUUUCGCUGUAUUGCCUCGAGCUCACCAUUUUUGCUUUCUUUUGACCACCACUCAUACUAGGCUCUUCAUCUGGAUUAUUAUUUUGUCCAAGACCCAGUUCGGAGUCUGCAUUCAUCCUUUUCAAAUACUUAUCCAUUGCUGUUGUACGUCUUGUCACCACCACCUCUCGUGCCAUCACUAAUACUAUUGUCUUAAAUUAACAAGGUUAUUAUUGCACAACCUACUGCCACUCAUUGACAUGGAAGAAUAUUUAAUUACUCUGCCAGUCACUACAUAGCAGGCACAGAUGUUCAAGAAUGGCAAAUUAUUUAUGGUAAUUAAAUAUUUUUUUGGACCAAUUAAGUGAAAUUGGAUCAUUUCCCACUGCACACUUAACAAUCUCUCACGGCACACUAAUGUGCUGCGGCACAGUGGUUGAAAAUCAUGGAGUUACAAAGGGACAUAGCCUGUGUCACUGCAGGAUAGUAUAAGGAGGUUACAUUAGUUUAGUGUUCUGUGGCAUCCCAGAAACAAAAGGGAGACGCAAAGCUCCGUCAUAUUUAAUGACUUGUAGCUCACAGAAAGUCAUCGAAGAAUUAUUCAAAAUGAACAAAGUGGCCAAAUAGCUCAAAGUUGUGUGAAAGUGACGUCUCAUAUAGUGUGUGGUCAUAUGUUUGCUGCAGGUACAGCAUGUUGUUAAAAACAGUAAUAUGUUAACAACACGCUAAGAACAUGCGAACAUGUUGACAUGGCUGUCUUGAUCAAAGUGUUGGUUUCAUGUGUUUUUGACCUGUCUGGGCUACCAUAUAUGUGAUGCUGCAUAAUGCCAACACAUUACUGCUAGAUUUGAACGGCCAUGAAAAUGGGAUGUCAGCAGCCAGAAACUCAGUGUGAGCUGAGGAAAAAAGUUGAAUAUGCAAACUUAGCCAAGCUUUGGGCUGAGUUUUUAGGAUCUCACUAAUAUCUGCAAGAUAUUUUAUCAGGUUUAGUUUUUUCCAGGUGAUUUCAAUGACUGGAAAAUUAGUUCAUAAAUUUCCAGGUUUUCCCAUUCCUGAAUAAGCAGCAAUGGACAUGAUGUGCCACUGAAACCACCAUAUAAUGUUAACUAGUGGAAACACCAAUAAAGUCACGCAAGGAGUUGCUUUCUCACUGUGUGAAGUAGAGUAUGUUCAAUUCUUGUUUAGAAAACCCAAUUGUUUUAUUGUUUUGAAAUGACCUUGGUGAAACUUUGAAAAUGUUUGACCGUGUGAUCCAAGUCAGUUAAUCUACUUGAAUAAUUGUGAUUUCUAAUUUGUGAAUACAAUAAGACAACAACACCUUCCAUCCAGCAGUCAACACUAACUACUUUCCAUGGUGAUGAUCUUAACUCUGGAUCAAGGCCUUUAAAUUAUUGUCAUUUGUAUGCAAAAAGGAAGAAAUAUGCUGCCACUGGGUUGAUGAAAACAUGGACUAGUACUGAUGUCAGCAUUAUAACUAACUGAUAACUUACGAAUUGUCAUCUUAUAACAGCCAGUGUUCCCUUUUCUUUAAUUGUAUGAUCUAUUAAAAUAUUUUAACUGA